GACGAACGCUGGCGGCGUGCUUAACACAUGCAAGUCGAACGGAAAGGCCCUGCUUUUGUGGGGUGCUCGAGUGGCGAACGGGUGAGUAACACGUGAGUAACCUGCCCUUGACUUUGGGAUAACUUCAGGAAACUGGGGCUAAUACCGGAUAGGAGCUCCUGCUGCAUGGUGGGGGUUGGAAAGUUUCGGCGGUUGGGGAUGGACUCGCGGCUUAUCAGCUUGUUGGUGGGGUAGUGGCUUACCAAGGCUUUGACGGGUAGCCGGCCUGAGAGGGUGACCGGCCACCUUGGGACUGAGAUACGGCCCAGACUCCUACGGGAGGCAGCAGUCGGGAAUAUUGCACAAUGGGCGGAAGCCUGAUGCAGCAACGCCGCGUGCGGGAUGACGGCCUUCGGGUUGUAAACCGCUUUCGCCUGUGACGAAGCGUGAGUGACGGUAAUGGGUAAAGAAGCACCGGCUAACUACGUG
rnacentral:rRNA from 1 species